rnacentral:rRNA from 1 species
UACGUAGGGGUCAAGCGUUGUCCGGAAUUAUUGGGCGUAAAGAGCGCGUAGGCGGGGAUGUAAGUCGGGCAUGAAAUCCCCAGGCUCAACCUGGGAACUGCACUCGAAACUGCGUUUCUUGAGUAUCGGAGAGGAAAGCGGAAUUCCUGGUGUAGAGGUGAAAUUCGUAGAUAUCAGGAGGAACACCAGUGGCGAAGGCGGCUUUCUGGACGGUAACUGACGCUGAGGCGCGAAAGCGUGGGGAGCAAACAGG